GAAGGCGUUGAUUGAGCCGUUCCAAUAUCACAUGAGCAAGUUGGAAAUCGUUGGAAUCGAAGCAAUCGGCAGCGGCGACAAGAUCUUCAAGGAAAUCAAGAGAUGGGUUGUUGGGAUUGAAGGAAUUGAAGGAUUGGAGGAUGGUGGGGGAGUGAUUUGAGAAGGGUUCAGAGAGGAAGAA